rnacentral:lncRNA from 11 species
GAAAUAUUUAGAUAAAUGGUAGGAAUUCUAAGAGAGUAUAGCCUCUUUAAUAUAAGUCUUUAGAUACCUAAUGCAGCCUCUAAUGUUUGUCCAACAUUUGAGUAUGGAGCAGAUUUAGGAUUCUUUGCUAAGAUAACAUUGUAUCUCAAUUUUAUGAUAUUAUAAUGGUAGAAUUAGGUUAACUGACCCAAAUUUAUGAAUCUACUUGACCACCUGAUGUUUUCUUCAAUCGAGCUGAGAAUUUAUGCAUGCAUAGUAUUGCAGGUGUCUAAAUGAGCUGUAACAGCAAAGCUCAGAGCGAGUCGGAGUGCUAUCCAAAUAAAAUAAUUGUUCUACUAACUGUUCUAAAAGGUUUUCACUGCAUCCUGGAGGCCAUUACAGAUGAAACUAUUAAUGUGGCAAAAACUUGAGGUUGUGGACUAGCCCUCCUAGUAGAUAUCUAGCUCUAGUUCAACCAUACUGAACUAUAUGAAGGGUUAAGUUGAGCAUUACAUGACAUAUGUUACAGGAGGCCAGUCAAAACCAGAACUUCAGCAAUGGCUUUAAAAUACAUACAUCUUCCUCUCCUCGAAAAUUGCAUUUUUCUGUUUGUUGUUACAGUGUGCGAUACCUUUGUUUAGCAUAUUGUGAGAUGAAAUUUCAGUUAUCAAUCUGUCAUGGAAAACAGAGGCCAUCAAUAUAUGUGUACAGUGAAUACAUGCAGGGAUUCCUAGAUGGAAGUAUCCAUCCAGCUCCAUCUUUUUGCAACCCCAUACCUUGGAAACCAAUCCAUGUGCCUCCUCCUAAGGAAGAGAAAGCUCCAGUGUCAACCCAGGUUCGUCUAUUUGGGGAGUGAAGUGAAACAACGGGAUGCUCCUCUGCUUUUCAU